CUUGUUGCUCUGUUUUUUACUUCUCAGCCGCCGUCCAACGUGUGUCUCCGUCGAGCGCCCCCUGCCACCAGGAAGGUUCAACGGAGAAGAUGAUGAAUGGUCCUUCCUUUCACGCCGAGGGGAAAUAAAGGAAAGAG